UCGUAGUAGAAGAUCAAACCCCUCUCAAAAUUAUCAAAAAACCCUCAACCCUAACUUCCACGCACGCGUAUCACACGUGAGUUUCAGAAACACACAAAAGAUCCUUAAUCACCAACCCACAACCGUCCGAUCUUCUUACACGUCAUCAAUCCCACUUUCAUCUUUUUUCAACGGCUGAGAUCACACUUACCCAAGAGUUGCUACUGGUUCGAACCUCCCCUGUUUCUCCCUUUCUCUCUCUCUCUCUUCACUCCCCUGCUUUCCCCUUUUACCCCCAAAAAUAUUUUUCAAGAAAAAAAAGGAAAAUUCCCCAAAAAAUCUCUGCAAUUGUAUCCAUGAAGAUGAUGAUGGAGGAGGAGAGAGAAAUUGAGGCGGCGAAGAAAGAGGUCGCAGCCGCCAUUAACGGCCAGAAAAAGGAGGAAGUUGAAGAAGUUGAAGAAGAAGAGGUUGACGGCGAGGAAGAAGAAGACGGUGGUGACGGUUCUGAAGAAGAUGAUGACGAUGACGAUGAUGAAGGUGAUGAGGAUGCAGUGCAGGAAGGUAUACCGUCUUCUGAUACUCCCGCAGUUCAGUCGGUAGAUGAUGAAGAUGAUGAUGAUGAUGAUGAUGAUGCUGAUGACGAUGAUGACGACGACGACGACGAUGAUGACGGUGAUGACGAUGACGAGGAGCCUGAUACCGGGUAUCUUGUUCGCCCUGUUGCUCCUGCCGAAGAUGAGGUGGAUGCCUCUGACUUUGAGCCUGAAGAGAAUGGUGAUGAUGAAGAUACCGAAGAAGAUACUGAUGAUGAGGAGGAGGAUGAUCAUGAGGAUGGGAAAGUUGAGGCCCCACCAAAGCGCAAAAGGUCAGGUGAAGAGGAUGAUUCUGGUGAUGAUGAUGGAGAUGAUGAUGAAAGACCACCCAAACGGUAGUGAUGAGGACCGUGGGGUUUGGCUUCUGUUACUCUCUGGAAAAAUGCCGAUGGAGGCUUGACCCAUCGGCAUAGAGCGACGAUUGGUGAAAGAAAAGUAUUGCAAAAGCAAACGCUGAGAAUGUCGGGCCAAGGUGAAUGGACUGGUUAUUUGCUGGAAAGUCGCAUCUCUAUCGAGCCCAUUCCAACACAGUACAACUGGACAUUAUUCAUGAUAGUGCAGAUUUAACAUAACUAUACCUGUUUAUUGGGUAUUUGGGUGCGGUUGGGUUAGGGUCGGUGCGGGUUGAUAAUGGCUCAUAUCUUAUUGGGCCAAAGUGAUCCAGAUUAACGUGGGCUGUGGAUUGGUAUUCGAUAGGCCAACAAUCGAUCAAGGAAAAGAAUAGAAGCCAAAAUUUGUUGUAUGUGAAUGUGAAAUUAUACAUUUUAAAGUUUUCUUUUAGUUUAAUUUUCCAAUAAUUA